rnacentral:lncRNA from 1 species
AAAUAAGAUUUGUAUAAUAUGGAUAUGUGUAAUUUUGUUUAUGUUAACAAAUAUAAAAAUAUAAAUAAACAAUGUAAUUUGUGUGAUAGUACAACAAAUACAAUAAGUAGUUGCAAUACUCAAGUGGAUACUGUUUAUAGUAACACAUAUAAUGAGAAUGAGCCAUUAUGUCAAAAUAUUUCAUUAGAUAAUAAAUUACAUGUAUACGAUAAUAAUUUUAUAAAUAAUACAUAUAUUAAAACAAAUUAUAUUAACAAUUACAGUAAUAGUAUUAAUAACAAUUACAGUAAUAGUAGUACAGUUAAAUGUACAAAUAGUACUAGUGAUUGUUGUGAUAGCACAAACAAAUUAAAUAUUUUUAAUUAUUCAUCAUAUAUACAAGAAUAUGAAAACAUAAAAUAUAAAAAUAAAUAUAAAACUAUAAAAUACAAGUCUUAUCAUAAUAAUAAUAAUAAUAAUAAUAAUAAUAAUAAUAAUGACAAUAAUGACAAUAAUGACAAUAAUGACAAUAAUAACAAUAAUAAUAAUGUAAAGUCUUUUUUUGUAAAAAAUGAAACAGAAAAAGUGUACAAUCAGACUACAUACAGCAAAGCAACAUACAACCAAACAACGCAUAACCAGGUAUUAUAUAACCAGGUAGCACAUAACCAUACAUCAUGUAAUCAACCCCCGUACAAACAAACAAUGCUCAAUCAGACAACGCAAAAUCAGGCAACCUAUAACGAAACAACGCAAAACCAAACAACCUAUAAUGAAACAACGUACAACGAAACAACAUAUAACGAAAUACUAAACUUAAAUAAUCAAACGAUACAAAGUAAAAAUGUUUAUAACGAAAAAAUAUACGAUAUAAAAAAAUACGAUAUAAACACAUAUGAUGCAAAUGUAUGUGAUUUAGACAAGUGUAAAUACAAAAAUAUGUAUAAUGAUGAAAAUAUAAAUAAUAAAAAUGGAAAUAAUAACGAUGUUUUUGUAACAUAUGAUAAAUUAUAUAGUAUAGAUAAUGCAAAUGUAGAAAAAAAAUAUAAUAAUAAUGAUACAGAUAAUAAUUCAAAACUUUAUAAAUAUGUUAAACAUUAUAACAAAGCAAAUGUAAAUAUUAAUGAAAAUGUUUAUGUAGAAAAAGUUUAUAAUAAUGAAAAAAGUUUGUUUAAUAUUUCUUUAUUUGAUAUGAACACAUUGCCUAAAAUUUAUAAAAAAUGUGAAAUUAAAUUAAAUAAUUUAAAACGAGGAUUAAAAAAGAAUGGAAUAUGUAAUGAAAAAUUCACUAAACUAAAAAAAGAGUCAAUUUUAUGUAAUAGUGAUGUAUAUACUAAAAAUAUGUAUAAAAAUUAUACAUGUAAUUGUUUUAAUGUAUAUAAACAAAUUUAUAAAAAUUCUAAAUAUAAUCAAUCAGAUUUAAAACAAAUACAUACAGAACUAAUAUAUCUAAUCAUUAAAUAUUUAUAUUAUGAAAGAAUACUUCCAGAAGUUAAUGAAAUAAAAAGAAAAAUUAACAAAUAUUUUCCAGAAUGUAUAAUAUUAAACAAUAACUUUAUAAAUAUAUGUAAAGAAGAUCAAGAAAAAAAAUUUGAAGUUAAUAGAUCUACUUCAAUAUAUGAAAAAGAUGAUAAAAAAGGAAAAGUAAUGUAUAAAAAACCAUUUAAUAGUGAAAAUUUAUGUAUAUAUUUAAGAGGUGUGCCAAGGGACUUCUUUAUAAAUCCCAAUGAUGACACAGAAAACAUUUCAUUGUACAUACCCUUAAUUUUUAUUCACAUAAUAGAUAGAUUUAGGAUACAAUCACCUGAUAAUAACCACAAGGGAGGAAGGUAUAUCUUAGCUGAGACACUAAAAUAUACAGGUCCAUAUAUAUUUAGGACUAUGAAAUUAGGAAGAAUUAUUCAUAUUUUACAAAAAUGUAUAGAUUUGAAUAUUUUAUCUUAUUUUAAUAAUAACAUAAUCCCAAUUUUUACAUCUAUGUCUAUAUCGAAAACGUACAUUUCAAAAAUGUAUGUAAAUCAAACACCUGCCUUAAAAAAUCAUAAAGAAAAUUCUAUAAAUUUAAUAAAAAAUAGAAUAAGUUAUUUAUUAUAUAGUUAUUCGGAAGAUAAAACAAAAACAAAAGGUAUUAUGUUUUUACUUGUGUAAAAAAUAAUGGAAAGCACUUACAUUUGUUUUAUUUACAUUUUUUAUUUGUAAAAUUAUAGUCCUGAUAGUGGUAGUAACAGUAGUAACAGUAGUAGUAACAGUAGUAACAGUAGUAGCAGUAGUAGUAACAGUAGUAGUAACAGUAGUAGUAACAGUAGUAGUAAC